rnacentral:tRNA from 1 species
AGACUUUAAGUUAUAUUUAAACUAAUAGCCUUCAAAGCUAUAAAAGGAGGGCUCCAAGUCUUG